ACAUGAAUCACUUGAGGAUCUUGUGAAAAUGCAGAUUUUGAUUCAGUAAGUCUGGGGCAGGGCCUGAGAUUCUGCAUUUUUAACAAACGCCAAGGUGAUGUCCAU
rnacentral:pre_miRNA from 1 species